GACGAGGGUCCCUAGCGUCGUUCGGAUUCAUUGGGCGUAAAGGGUGCGUAGGUGGCGCCGUAAGUCAGGUGUGAAAUCUCGGGGCUCAACCCCGAAACUGCACUUGAUACUGCGGUGCUCGAGUACUGGAGAGGAGAUUGGAAUUUACGGUGUAGCAGUGAAAUGCGUAGAUAUCGUAAGGAAGACCAGUGGCGAAGGCGAAUCUCUGGACAGUUACUGACACUGAGGCACGAAGGCCAGGGGAGCAAACGGG
rnacentral:rRNA from 1 species